rnacentral:rRNA from 1 species
UACGUAGGGUGCGAGCGUUGUCCGGAAUUAUUGGGCGUAAAGGGCUCGUAGGCGGUUUGUCGCGUCGGGAGUGAAAACCAGGUGCUUAACACCUGGCUUGCUUUCGAUACGGGCAGACUAGAGGUAUGCAGGGGAGAACGGAAUUCCUGGUGUAGCGGUGAAAUGCGCAGAUAUCAGGAGGAACACCGGUGGCGAAGGCGGGUCUCUGGGCCGUAACUGACGCUGAGGAGCGAAAGCAUGGGGAGCGAACAGG